UUUAGAUUGGAUAUUGGGAAAGAUUUUUUCAUUAGAAGAGUGGCUUAGCAUUGGAACAGCUGCUCAGGUCAGUGGAGGAGUCACCAUGCCUGGAGGGACUCAAGAGACUUGCAGGAGAGGAGCCCCACCAGAACAUUCCUUCACCAAGCACAGCCGUGGUUUUGGGACUGGUCAGCAUUCCUUCCCCCUGCAGGAGCUGCUUCCUCUGAAUCCCUCAGCUUGCAGAGCACAUUUCCCACAUCACUUCUCUGCUGGCAGGUACUCAGGCUGUCUACACCUGAAACCCAGUCAUUCCAGCACGGAUGAUAGAGGGAGCCUUUGAAAUUCAGUCUCCUACCAGUGGCACUCGGAUUCAGCAGGUGAACAAACCCACCUGCUUCACCUCAGGAGCUCCUGCUGAAGAUGGUGCUCACUCCCUGUAGGAUGGACAUGUGCUCCAGGAUGACUGAUGAGUGCAUCAUCAAUAAUGAGCAGAAAACAGGAGAAAAUGAAGAGUUCCCAGGCAACCUGUUGUCUGAAUAUUAUGUGCUCAGACUCUUUUAACUGAGUUUAAGAGGCUCGUUUAGCCAAAAGCAGUAAAAAAAUUAAUAAUUAAUAAGAUUCCAGCAGAUAUGUUCAACCAGCC